AUAUAAUUUAAAAGGAAAGAUGGUUGGCAUCUCUCCUGACAGGACGGGAACAGCCUUCGGGUUUUCCUUGUACACAUCGGUUAAAAGCGUACACAUCGGUUAAAAGCUACCCACCUCUUGAU
rnacentral:ncRNA from 1 species